rnacentral:tRNA from 1 species
AUGGGGUUGUGGCUCAGUGGAAGAGCACUUGCCUUGAAUGUGUGAGGCACUGUGUUCGAUUCUCAGUACCACAUA